rnacentral:rRNA from 1 species
AAGACCUUGUGCUUUUGGAGCGGCCGAUGCCUGAUUAGCUAGUUGGUAGGGUAAAGGCCUACCAAGGCUUCGAUCAGUAGUUGGUCUGAGAGGACGACCAGCCACACUGGGACUGAGACACGGCCCAGACUCCUACGGGAGGCAGCAGUGGGGAAUUUUGGACAAUGGGGGCAACCCUGAUCCAGCCAUGCCGCGUGAGUGAAGAAGGCCUUCGGGUUGUAAAGCUCUUUCAGUCGGGAAGAAAAGGUUGUGACUAAUAAUUGCAAUUCAUGACGGUACCGACAGAAGAAGCACCGGCUAACUACGUGCCAGCAGCCGCGGUAAUACGUAGGGUGCGAGCGUUAAUCGGAAUUACUGGGCGUAAAGGGUGCGCAGGCGGUCUUGUAAGUCAGAUGUGAAAUCCCCGGGCUUAACCUGGGAACU